rnacentral:rRNA from 1 species
CUUACAAUUAGUCAGAGCCCGUUAAUGGGUGAUGGCGUACAUCUUGCAGUAUGGACCGGCGAGUUACUUUAGCAUGCAAGGUUAAGCAGAUAAAAGCGGAGCCGUAGAGAAAUCGAGUCUUAAUAGGGCGAUUAGUAUGCUUGAGUACACCCGAAACCAGGUGACCUAUUCAUGAGCAGACUGAAACUUAGCUAACCCUAAGUGGAGGGUCGAACCGUAGUACACUGAAACGUGCCCGGAUGACUUGUGAAUAGCGGAGAAAUUCCAAUCGAACUUGGAGAUAGCUGGUUCUCCUCGAAAUAGCUUUAGGGCUAGCGUGUAGUGUUAAAUAAUGGUGGUAAAGCACUGAAUAUGGAAUGGCCUCGCCUAGGGGUACUGACUAUAAUCAAACUCUGAAUACCGUUAUGAAUUGCUAUGCAGUCGGAACCGGGGUGCUAACGUCCCGGCUCGCGAGGGAAACAACCCAGAUCGUCAGCUAAGGUCCCAAAAUCGUGUUAAGUCAGAAAGGUUGUGAGGUUUCAUAAACAACUAGGAAGUUGGCUUAGAAGCAGCCAUCUUUUAAAGAGUGCGUAAUAGCUCACUAGUCAAGAGACCUUGCGCCGACAAUGUAACGGGAGUAAAACACGAUACCGAAGCUACGGGUACAUUUAUGUACGUUAGAGGAGCGUUCUUAGGGCAAUGAAGCUAGACUGUAAAGACUAGUGGAGCGCUAAGAAGUGAGAAUGCCGGUAUGAGUAACGAUUCGUAGUGAGAAUCUACGACGCCUAUUGGGGAAGGUUUCCUGGGCAAGGUUCGUCCACCCAGGGUUAGUCAGGACCUAAGGCGAGGCUGAAAAGCGCAGUCGAUGGACAACAGGUUAAUAUUCCUGUACUUUCUUUAAUUGUGAUGGAGUGACGGAGAAGGAUAAGCAUACCUAUUAUUGGAUUUAGGGGUAAGUAGUUACUGGUGAUUGUAGGCAAAUCCGCAAUCUAUAACUGGGAGCUAUGAUGCAUAGGACUUUUGUCUGAAUUUGCCAAUUCCAUGCUUCCUAGAAAAGUUUCUAAACUUAAUUUUAUUGAAACCUGUACCAAGAACGGACACACGUCCCCAAGAUGAGUAUUCUAAGGCGAGCGAGAAAACUAGUGUUAAGGAACUCUGCAAAAUGACCCCGUAAGUUCGCAAGAAGGGGCGCCUAUGGUAACACAUAGGCCACAGUAAAUUAUGAGGGGCAACUGUUUAUCAAAAACACAACUCUCUGCUAAACCGCAAGGUGAUGUAUAGGGGGUGAAGCCUGCCCAGUGCCCGAAGGUUAAGUGGAUGCGUUAGCUUAUGCGAAGCGUUGAAAUGAAGCCCGGGUGAACGGCGGCCGUAACUAUAACGGUCCUAAGGUAGCGAAAUUCCUUGUCGGCUAAAUACUGACCUGCACGAAAGGCAUAAUGAUCUCUCAACUGUCUCAACACUAGACUCGGUGAAAUUAUGGUCCCAGUGAAAACGCUGGGUUCCCGCAUCAAGACGAAAAGACCCCAUGGAGCUUUACUAUAACUUCGUAUUGGAAUUUGGCCUAACAUGUGUAGGAUAGGUGGGAGACUUUGAAGCUGAGACGCCAGUAGCAGUGGAGUCAACCUUGAAAUACCACCCUUGUUAUGUUGAAUUUCUAACUUACCAUCAUAAUCAGGUGGGAGGACAGUGCGUGGUGGGUAGUUUGACUGGGGCGGUCGCCUCCUAAAGAGUAACGGAGGCGUUCAAAGGUACACUCAGUACGGUCAGAAACCGUAUGUAGAGCGCAAAGGCAGAAGUGUGCUUGACUGUGAGACAUACAAGUCGAGCAGGUGCGAAAGCAGGACUUAGUGAUCCGGCUGUACAUUGUGGAAUGGCAGUCGCUCAACGGAUAAAAGUUACCCUGGGGAUAACAGGCUAAUCUUGCCCAAGAGAUCACAUCGACGGCAAGGUUUGGCACCUCGAUGUCGGCUCAUCGCAUCCUGGAGCUGGAGUCGGUUCCAAGGGUUGGGCUGUUCGCCCAUUAAAGCGGUACGCGAGCUGGGUUCAAAACGUCGUGAGACAGUUUGGUCCCUAUCUGAUGUGGGCGUUGGAAUAUUGAUGAGAGCCGCUCUUAGUACGAGAGGACCGGAGUGGACGUACCGCUGGUGUUCCAGUUGUUCCGCCAGGAGCAUGGCUGGGUAGCUAAGUACGGAAAGGAUAACCGCUGAAAGCAUCUAAGUGGGAAGCCUCCUCAGAGAUUAGUAUUCCCUUGAAAUUCCUUAUAGACUAUGAGGUUGAUAGGCUGGAUGUGUAAGC